CUGAGAUUUGGCUCCCAACACUGUGGCAUAUAGGAAGCCAAGGAUCCUUUAGCCAAGUUCCCAUCAGUCCUCAGGACAAUUAAAGUCUGUUUUCCUGAGCACAAAGCAAAGCUUUGGAGAUAUUUGCCGCCCGUACCCAGAUGAUCACACUCUUCUUCAUGUGACUUGUAGAGAGAUUUGGUGCAGAACAAGGAGCCUCACCACACCAUCUAAUUGGAACCACGAUGCAAAUACAUCACAUCAGGC
rnacentral:lncRNA from 1 species